rnacentral:rRNA from 1 species
CAGCCGCCGCAGGAAUACGUAGGGUGCAAGCGUUAAUCGGAAUUACUGGGCGUAAAGCGUGCGCAGGCGGUUAUAUAAGACAGAUGUGAAAUCCCCGGGCUCAACCUGGGAACUGCAUUUGUGACUGUAUAGCUAGAGUACGGCAGAGGGGGAUGGAAUUCCGCGUGUAGCAGUGAAAUGCGUAGAUAUGCGGAGGAACACCGAUGGCGAAGGCAAUCCCCUGGGCCUGUACUGACGCUCAUGCACGAAAGCGUGGGGAGCAAACAGGAUUAGAGACCCCUGUAGUCCCUGUCUCUUAUAC